GCAGGGCAUGGUGCUUGUAGUCCCAGCUACUUGGGAGGCUGAGGCUGGAGGAUCGCUUGAGUCCAGGAGUUCUGGGCUGUAGUGUGCUAUGCCGAUUGGGUGUCCACACUAAGUUCUCCUUUAUAUGGUGACCUCCCGGGAGCGGGGGACCACCAGGUUGCCUAAGAAGGGGUGAACCGGCCCAGGUCAGAAACAGAGCAGGUCAAAACUCCUGUGCUGAUCAGUAGUGGGAUCACGCCUGUGAAUAGCCACUGCACUCCAGCCUGGGCAACAUAGCGAGACCCUGACUCU
rnacentral:SRP_RNA from 1 species